AGCGAACGCUGGCGGCAGGCCUAACACAUGCAAGUCGAACGGACCCUUCGGGGUUAGUGGCGGACGGGUGAGUAACACGUGGGAACGUGCCUUUAGGUUCGGAAUAGCUCCUGGAAACGGGAGGGAAUGCCGAAUGUGCCCUUCGGGGGAAAGAUUUAUCGCCUUUAGAGCGGCCCGCGUCUGAUUAGCUAGUUGGUGAGGUAAUGGCUCACCAAGGCGACGAUCAGUAGCUGGUCUGAGAGGAUGACCAGCCACACUGGGACUGAGACACGGCCCAGACUCCUACGGGAGGCAGCAGUGGGGAAUCUUGCGCAAUGGGCGAAAGCCUGACGCAGCCAUGCCGCGUGAAUGAUGAAGGUCUUAGGAUUGUAAAAUUCUUUCACCGGGGACGAUAAUGACGGUACCCGGAGAAGAAGCCCCGGCUAACUUCGUGCCAGCCGCCGCUGUAA
rnacentral:rRNA from 1 species